UACGUAGGGUGCGAGCGUUGUUCGGAAUUACUGGGCGUAAAGCGUGUGUAGGCGGUCUCUUAAGUCGGAUGUGAAAGCCCCGGGCUCAACCCGGGAAGUGCACUCGAAACUGGGAGGCUAGAGUACUGGAGAGGUUGGUGGAAUUCUCGGUGUAGAGGUGAAAUUCGUAGAUAUCGAGAGGAACACCGGUGGCGAAGGCGGCCAACUGGACAGAUACUGACGCUGAGACACGAAAGCGUGGGGAGCAAACAGG
rnacentral:rRNA from 1 species